ACGUAGGGUGCGAGCGUUAAUCGGAAUUACUGGGCGUAAAGCGUGCGCAGGCGGUUUUGUAAGCCAGAUGUGAAAUCCCCGGGCUUAACCUGGGAACUGCAUUUGUGACUGCAUAGCUAGAGUCUGUCAGAGGGGGGUGGAAUUCCACGUGUAGCAGUGAAAUGCGUAGAGAUGUGGAGGAACACCGAUGGCGAAGGCAGCCCCCUGGGAUAAGACUGACGCUCAUGUACGAAAGCGUGGGGAGCAAACAGGA
rnacentral:rRNA from 1 species